rnacentral:lncRNA from 1 species
GGUGACGGGCUGAAACUGGUGUCUGCAGCGACUGCUAUUUUGGCCCAACCAGCCUCUUCAGGCUUCGGCGGUACACGCCCCGGGGGUAGUUACAGUCCUCCUGGCUCUGAUGAGUCUCUGCCCGCGGAAUAUCAAAAAGGCUGAGGUUGGCAAGGGCGUUCCUCCCGCACCCGACGGCUGAGAAGGAAGAUAGGCAGGAUAGGUAGUGGGGAGGGCACAAUCUAGUUAAUACUUCGGAAUCCUGUCUGAAAUAAAGGAAAAUGCAUGUUCAGACUCCCAAGAGACCAGGAAAACGCGGAGGAUCUGCCAAAAGCAUUCCAAGAAGAGAAGAAACCAACGCCAGGGAGAGAUUCUUUUAUACACAUUAUGGCAGCUGCACAUGGCUUCCGUCAGUAACUGGGGCCAGGGGGUGUGAGGACGGUGACUGGGAGCCAAGGAGAGGGCCACGGGAACCGAACACCGGAGUCCCUAUGGUGUUGCGCUGUGGGAGUCCAAUGUCUAGUCCUGGAGCCUCCGAGAGCGCGCUGGUGGUCCUUUGGGACCUUCCCUUUCGGGAUAUCUUCUUUCCAAGAUCCCAGAGAAGGACCCUCAGAAGCACUCUCCGCGGCAACGUCCCCAUCUUAUUUACCUGUGAUUUUACUUCCCUUUUUUAUAAAGAGUAGGC